UAGGGAAUCUUCCGCAAUGGGCGAAAGCCUGACGGAGCAACGCCGCGUGAGUGAUGAAGGUCUUCGGAUCGUAAAACUCUGUUAUUAGGGAAGAACAAAUGUGUAAGUAACUAUGCACGUCUUGACGGUACCUAAUCAGAAAGCAACGUCUAACUACGUGCCAGCAGCCGCGGUAAUACGUAGGUGGCGAGCGUUAUCCGGAAUUAUUGGGCGUAAAGCGCGCGCAGGCGGUCAAUUAAGUCUGAUGUGAAAGCCCCCGGCUCAACCGGGGAGGUUCAUUGGAAACUGGUUGGCUUGAGUGCAGAAGAGGAGAGUGGAAUUCCAUGUGUAGCGGUGAAAUGCGUAGAUAUAUGGAGGAACACCGGUGGCGAAAGCGGCUCUCUGGUCUGUAACUGACGCUGAGGCUCGAAAGCGUGGGGAGCGAACAGG
rnacentral:rRNA from 1 species